CUACGGGGCGCUGCAGUGGGGAAUAUUGGACAAUGGGCGCAAGCCUGAUCCAGCAAUGCCGCGUGAGUGAAGACGGCCUUAGGGUUGUAAAACUCUUUCGCUAGGGAAGAUAAUGACUGUACCUAGUAAAGAAGUCCCGGCUAACUCCGUGCCAGCAGCCGCGGUAAUACGGAGGGGACUUGCGUUGUUCGGAAUUACUGGGCGUAAAGAGUUCGUAGGCGGACUGACAAGUUAGAGGUGAAAUCCCAGGGCUCAACCCUGGAACUGCCUUUAAAACUGUCAGUCUAGAGACCGGAAGAGGUUAGGGGAAUACCUAGUGUAGAAGUGAAAUUCGUAGAUAUUAGGUGGAACACCAGUGGCGAAGGCGCCUAACUGGUCCGGUACUGACGCUGAGGAACGAAAGCGUGGGGAGCAAACAGGAUUAGAUACCCGUGUAGUC
rnacentral:rRNA from 1 species